GAAGGGAGCCGCAGGGGGUCGCUGCGGGGAGGGUCUUCUCGGGGCGCCCAGGCCGGUCAGGGCGCGGGUUCGAGCUGCUGCUCGGCAGGCCUGGGUGUCCCAGGCAUGAGCGAGCUGUGGGGGGUCGAGGGGCCGCGGUGCCGGGCGGCGCUCGCUGUCCUGGCCUCGCUGUGCCGGGCCCGGCCGCUGCCUCUCGGGCUGGACGUGGAGACUUGUCGAAGCUUCGAACUGCAGCCCCCAGAAAGGAGUCCGAGCGCUGCCAACGCAGGCACCUCUGUCAGCCUCCUUGCUGUGGUAGUUAUUGUGUGUGGCGUGGCCUUGGUGGCAGUUUUUCUCUUUCUCUUUUGGAAGCUGUGCUGGACACCCUGGAGGAACAAGGAGACCUCCAGCCCCUCUUCUGCUAACCCUCACUUAGAGGCCCUCCAGAGCCCCAGCUCUAGAAGCAACAUGGCAGACAAAAUGAAGGACCCCAGCACCCUAGGCUUCCUGGAGGCAGCGGUGAAGAUUAGCCACACAUCCCCAGAUAUCCCGGCCGAGGUGCAGAUGUCAGUAAGGGAGCACAUGAUGCGUCACACACGGCUGCAGCGACAGACCACAGAACCAGCAUCAUCCACCAGGCACACGUCCUUCAAGCGCCACCUGCCUCGGCAGAUGCAUGUCUCCAGCGUAGACUAUGGCAAUGAGCUUCCACCAGCAGCAGAGCAGCCUACCAGCAUUGGCCGCAUCAAACCUGAGCUUUACAAGCAGAAGUCGGUGGAUGGGGAUGAUGCCAAGUCUGAGGCUGCCAAGAGCUGCGGGAAGAUCAACUUUAGUCUACGCUAUGAUUAUGAGAGUGAGACCCUGAUUGUGCGCAUCCUGAAAGCCUUUGACCUCCCUGCCAAGGACUUUUGUGGAAGCUCUGACCCUUAUGUCAAGAUCUACCUCCUGCCGGACCGCAAAUGCAAGCUGCAGACCCGGGUGCACCGCAAGACCCUGAACCCCACCUUUGAUGAAAACUUCCACUUUCCUGUGCCCUAUGAGGAGCUGGCUGACCGCAAGCUGCACCUCAGUGUCUUUGACUUUGACCGCUUCUCCCGCCAUGACAUGAUUGGGGAGGUCAUCCUAGACAACCUCUUUGAAGCCUCUGACCUGUCCAGGGAAACUUCCAUCUGGAAGGACAUCCAGUAUGCCACCAGUGAAAGUGUGGACUUGGGGGAGAUCAUGUUCUCUCUAUGCUACCUGCCCACAGCAGGCAGGCUCACCCUCACAGUGAUCAAAUGUCGCAACCUCAAGGCAAUGGACAUCACAGGCUAUUCAGAUCCCUAUGUCAAAGUGUCCCUGCUUUGUGAUGGGCGGAGGCUGAAGAAGAAGAAAACAACCAUAAAGAAGAACACUCUCAAUCCUGUGUACAAUGAGGCCAUCAUCUUUGACAUUCCCCCAGAGAAUAUGGAUCAAGUCAGUCUGCUCAUCUCAGUUAUGGAUUAUGACCGAGUGGGCCACAAUGAGAUCAUAGGUGUCUGUCGUGUGGGCAUCAAUGCUGAAGGCCUGGGCAGGGACCACUGGAAUGAGAUGCUGGCAUACCCUCGGAAGCCCAUUGCACACUGGCACUCCUUGGUGGAGGUAAAGAAAUCCUUCAAAGAGGGAACCCCUCGAUUGUGAUUUCAUUCACGUGGACACUGCUCGCAGAGAAGCUGCCACCGGGAGUUAGGAUGGCAGGGACGAGCUGCCAGCUUCGACAGUGAGAGCUCGUGCCCUUCUCCGAAACCACCUCCAACACCGUGAGCUGCACGGCUGUGCCACACAAACAGGACUCAGUGAUGUUCUUUUUGCACUUGUUCAGCCAUCUAAAUGCAGUGUUGUGCAGUCACCGAGGCAGCAGCUGUCCGUCUGCCACUCCAGAGUCUUAACUGCUCCUGUGUAGGUCAAGGCCAAGACACUUGUUGUGUGGUCAGAUCUGUCUUAGUCUUCUCUGUCUUUCAAGAUGAUGUUUUUGUGGUUCUCACUUUGUAUAGGUCUACUGUCAAGAAAAGAAAAAGCAACAUGAGGAACAAAAACAGAACACAAUGAGUAAGAAAUAAAAGGUAGAUAGCCCAGAAGUUGGUUGUAUAAAACAGUGUUGUAAAAUAGUAGUCUUUGGGGGAAAAGCGAUUGAGUUUCUGAAAUUUUUUGUCUCCACCAAGCUCCGCAGCCCUGCAGGCAGUAGUGGGUUGGAGCUAAGGCUGUAUUUACAGGGCCCUGCAGGAAUGGUACAAAUCAACCCAAGAGCUGGUACAAGACUAUUACUCUUUGAAGCUCUUCACUGGUGUGGCAUAAGCCAAGAUGUGGACUCCUGGUCCCAUGUCAAAGUCACAGGACCUAUGCAGUGUUUGUGAACCUCCCGCAGAUAUACAGAGGCCCUUGCUUCCCUUCCUUGUUGGCUUGCCUCAUGGACUAGAAAUGUCUUGAUUCCUCAAGGGGACUUAGUCACUUUCUUUAGGAAUGAUUCUGCUGAAACUAACCACACCAUAUGUUUCUGAUGUGCCACAAUGAAUGAGUACAUUUGUUUGAAAACAAGGUCUUUGUUCUCAAAAAUAAGCUUCAUUGUAGUGAAAGAGAGGCACAUAUGUUCCACAAUGAUUUCUGCAUUUUAUAUGCCUUUACCACUCCACAAAGUGUCAAUCACAUGUUUUAAAAGCCUAAACAGAUCAAAGAAAAACUUGGAUAAAAUUUUCCUUUGUGAAUGAAGAGUUUUGAAAUCUGAGCCACAGUUUGAGUUGAUCUCUCUUAGAAGAUCUUUUCAAACCCAGGCAAUCUGAACCUAUUUUAACCCCAUGGACUUUGGGGUUAACAUUCAUUUUAUACUUUUGUUCUAUAUCACUUAGGCAUACAGUGUCAUUUGUUUCAGUGAUUGUGAGGGGUUUUGUUUUUGUUUUUCCUUCAGAUUUCUAGCUUAGUCCAAAUUCAGUUUAGGAAAAAAGUUUGAGCUAUUCUCUAUCCUGUAUUAUAAUAACACAUUCCUAUUGAAUGAACAGUAACCUUCCCAAGGACCCCUAUCACUAGGUUAAUUUGCUCACCCUCAAUCUGUACAGCCCUGGUAAGUACGUGGAGAUGACUUUUCACUCCAAUUUGUGACUGCUUAGUGCCAAUUUCCACUUGUGUAUAGGAUUUGCAAGAAGCGAGUCAGGUGAUGAGCCCCUUCUUUCAACAAUGGAAGAUCAAGGACAUGUCUUACUUUUUUUUUUGUACCGGGGAUCAAACUUAUGUGCUUGCUAGGCAGGCACUUAUGCUGCUGAGCUAUAUCCCUGGCCCUUGUCUUACUCUUUAUAUACAUUACAUGCUAUAAAAGCCACAACUUUAACUAAAGUAAUGUUCAUUUUAAGCCAGGUUAUCAUAUUUUUCUGCUGAUAUAACAGUAAGUAGUGUCUUAUAGCCCUAAAAAUGACUAGAUUGAGCAUCAGCUAACAGGAUACUGUGCAAAAGAUGUUUCCCACCAAGCAAAUUAAAUGUAGAUAAAUCUAAACUCUGUUCUGUACUGAACCUUAGGCUAGGGACUAAUACGUAGAUAGCUUAUCUCCCUAAAUGUCUUCUGUUUGAUAGGCUUCACUGGUCAGGCAGUCCUGUGUUUGGAUAUUCUCUUGAGAGUUAGAAAAACUCCAUGAUCGUGACAAGACUCCCAGGAGGCAACAGACUCCAUUGUCUCUUGACUCUAGAUUAACCCUAUGGAGAUAGACAUUUCAAUAAUUGAACAGAUGCUAUUGACCUUGCAACUAGGAAGGGAGCAAUUUAGUUUCUUGGGCCAUAAGGAGCCUGGAAAUUAGUGUGGGAGCUUCCAAAAGCGAGCUCAAAAUGCAUCUCUUGGUGUCUUCUGUGCACACUCUUAGGCAGGUGAGGAUGACCCAUCCUAACAUUUUGGAGAAGAAAGUGUGAUCAGUGUGAAUCAUGGAAAAUAUUUCCCAUCUGAGAGAUUUUUCUUAUACCAAGUGGCUCUUUCCUGUUAAGGAACACUCCAACUGUUUCAGAAGAUCAUUUCCUGAACAGAUUAUGGCCAGCCUCCAUACCACCUCAACCAACAGCUACCACUCCAGCUCCAACAGCCUUGAUAAAUUCCUACAGGCAUGGGAACACACCCUAGGAAGGCUUUUAGCUCCUGGACCCCCUAACCUCCUAUUCCAUUGUACCCCCCAAGCUCCUGGCUCCCUAAUUCUCCCCACACACACCCCAGCCCAAUCUUCAACCUGAAUCCAGAAUGAUAACGUAAUGGCUGCCAAUUUCAUUAUCUAGCCCAGUAUCUUUCCCUCACAUAUAAGAAUAAAUUGAAAUACAGGUUUCAGAAUAAACUGAAAUUCAAAAUUGAUUCUUUUGUCAGCUUCCUGGGCAUAAGAAACCUCUUUGGGGAUUGUUGUGAGCUUUGCUGAAGUUGUGAUAACCAGGGCCAUUUGCACAUAGAUGUUUCUUAAAACACAAAGUUCCCUUCUUCAUUUAGCAGUGUUUCUGGACUGAAUGAUGCCCCCCUCCCUCUCUGCACUUACCCAGGAUGUUAAUUAAUUGUAUCAUCAUUUAAAAACUUAUGUUGUUAAUUACUGCUUUGUGUCUUCCCAACACUGUCACAGCCUGGAGUUUUUAUUCAAUUAAAUCUUUGUCUCUUGCCCA